rnacentral:rRNA from 1 species
AGUGAACGCUGGCGGUAGGCCUAACACAUGCAAGUCGAACGGCAGCACAGUAAGAGCUUGCUCUUACGGGUGGCGAGUGGCGGGCGGGUGAGGAAUACAUCGGAAUCUACUUUUUCGUGGGGGAUAACGUAGGGAAACUUACGCUAAUACCGCAUACGACCUACGGGUGAAAGCAGGGGAUCUUCGGACCUUGCGCGAUUGAAUGAGCCGAUGUCGGAUUAGCUAGUUGGCGGGGUAAAGGCCCACCAAGGCGACGAUCCGUAGCUGGUCUGAGAGGAUGAUCAGCCACACUGGAACUGAGACACGGUCCAGACUCCUACGGGAGGCAGCAGUGGGGAAUAUUGGACAAUGGGCGCAAGCCUGAUCCAGCCAUACCGCGUGGGUGAAGAAGGCCUUCGGGUUGUAAAGCCCUUUUGUUGGGAAAGAAAAGCAGCAGGUUAAUACCCCGCUAUUCUGACGGUACCCAAAGAAUAAGCACCGGCUAACUUCGUG